UCUCUUAUUGGUAAUUCAAUCAAACAUUUUGCAUUUUACACAUUCAAAUUGAAGCGAACGUACUCAAGAGAUCAGUAAACCAAAAGUCAAUCCAACGUAUAAAGAUGAACAAGGCCAAAUUAUAGGUCAAAUCCAACAUUCAAAUGUCCAACAUAAAGAUCAAUAAAACCAAGUUUGUUCGAAACACAAGCAAGCAAGUAUACGUACGCACAUAGGAGAGAGCAUCAAAGAAUAUAAUUUAGAGAUCUUUGUAUCAUACCCAUGUACCUCACAUGAACGAAUGAGUUAUACGACAUCCAUAUACAAACACAUACACCAGUGCAAUUGAGAUAUAUAGUUGUAAAAGCCUCACAUAAGCCACUUUUGCUUUUAAGCCCGUGGGUGAUCAUUUUUGCAUUGAGAAGGCAAAAUAUAUUUCAUGAAAAGGAAUGAAGUUUUGAUAUAAAUCAGAAAGCAGAAAGCAGAAAGCAGAAAGUAGGGUUGCCAUCCCAUGUUCAAAAAAACCCAAAAUCAUUACAAAGAAAGUGGCUUUUGUA
rnacentral:lncRNA from 1 species